UGUAGAGCUGGUGUUGUUGUGGCUAUGGAGACAAAAGUGUUUACUUUGUUUUAGAAGAUUUGGGUAACACAACAGGAAAAUGGGAUGUAUGUGGAUAUGAUGCUUCCUCUCCUUACAAGUUACAACCCACUUCAGAGCAAGUUCUUUAAGACACUUGCUGCUCCUCACAAAGAGGGGUUUGCUUCUCAAGUUUUUGAUUAUUGGACGAGGCUUUUUGCUUACUUAUGCAGUGUGAACUCGACCGUAUAAGAGAGGUUCUCAAGAGAUCGUUUCAUAUAGAUAAAGAGAUAUGUGGCAGAGCUUUGAGAAGGGGAUGGUUGUCAAAUUUGGGGUCAAGAAGAUUCAGCAGUGGGGAGAUGAAAAGUUGCAUCAUAGUUUAACAGAUAAAUAUCAUCUAAAUGAUUAGUUCAGAUGAGCCAAUAAUGGAAUUAAUAUCCGUUUACAUAUGUAAUAGUAUAAAUAAUGGUAAUCUAAUAAUACAAGAUGUUAUUUGUUGUAGGACAUUCGGUAGUAAAGAAAAAUUUAUAAUCCAUCUAUCAUC